rnacentral:rRNA from 1 species
GCGGCGGACGGGUGAGUAACGCGUAGGAAUCUACCUGGUAGUGGGGGACAACUUGGGGAAACUCAAGCUAAUACCGCAUACGCCCUAUGGGGGAAAGCGGGGGACCUUCGGGCCUCGCGCUAUCAGAUGAGCCUGCGUAGGAUUAGCUUGUUGGUGAGGUAAAGGCUCACCAAGGCGACGAUCCUUAGCUGGUCUGAGAGGAUGAUCAGCCACACUGGGACUGAGACACGGCCCAGACUCCUACGGGAGGCAGCAGUGGGGAAUAUUGCGCAAUGGGGGCAUCCCUGACGCAGCCAUGCCGCGUGUGUGAAGAAGGCCUUCGGGUUGUAAAGCACUUUAAGUGGGGAGAAAAGGGUAGCGGUUAAUAGCCGUUACCUGUGGUGUUACCCACAGAAUAAGCACCGGCUAACUCCGUGUCAGCAGCCGCGGUAAUACGGAGGGUGCGGGCGUUAAUCGGAAUUACUGGGCGUAAAGCGCGCGUAGGCGGUUUGUUAAGUCAGCUGUGAAAGCCCCGGGCUCAACCUGGGAACUGCAGUUGAUACUGGCCGACUAGAGUACGAGAGGGGGAGGUAGAAUUCCAUGUGUAGCGGUGAAAUGCGUAGAUAUAUGGAGGAAUACCGGUGGCGAAGGCGGCCUCCUGGCUCGAUACUGACGCUGAGGUGCGAAAGCGUGGGGAUCAAACAGGAUUAGAUACCCUGGUAUUCCACGCCGUAAACGAUGUCUACUAGCCGUUGGGAGACUUGAUUUCUUAGUGGCGCAGCUAACGCAAUAAGUAGACCGCCUGGGGAGUACGGCCGCAAGGUUAAAACUCAAAUGAAUUGACGGGGGCCCGCACAAGCGGUGGAGCAUGUGGUUUAAUUCGAUGCAACGCGAAGAACCUUACCAGGUCUUGACAUCCAGAGAACUUGGCAGAGAUGCCCUGGUGCCUUCGGGAGCUCUGAGACAGGUGCUGCAUGGCUGUCGUCAGCUCGUGUCGUGAGAUGUUGGGUUAAGUCCCGUAACGAGCGCAACCCUUGUCCUUAGUUGCCAGCACGUAAUGGUGGGAACUCUAAGGAGACUGCCGGUGACAAACCGGAGGAAGGUGGGGACGACGUCGAGUCGUCAUGGCCCUUACGACCUGGGCUACACACGUGCUACAAUGGAACGUACAGAGGGCAGCAAAGGCGCGAGCUGGAGCCAAUCCCACAAAACGUUUCGUAGUCCGGAUCGGAGUCUGCAACUCGACUCCGUGAAGUCGGAAUCGCUAGUAAUCGUGGAUCAGAAUGCCACGGUGAAUACGUUCCCGGGCCUUGUACACACCGCCCGUCACACCAUGGGAGUGGGUUGCUCCAGAAGUGGUUAGCCUAACCUUCGGGGGGGCGAUCACCACGGAGUGGUUCAUGA